CCCUGCCCGCCGCACGCACCCACAACACACGCCCACCGCCACCCCGGCCCCGCCAGCCCCGCACGCAGCCGGGCCCCAAAAUCCGCGCCCCGUUCCGCACGGCCCGGCCCGCGCAGCGCCCGCGGACGCGCGAGGGCAGCGGGAGAGCGCGGGGGAUUUUCUUCCCGGCAUGCGGCGCGGCGCUGCCUCAUUUGCAUGGACACGCCCCCAGCCGCGGAGCGCCGGCCCCGCUCCCGGGCGCUGCUGCCGGCGGUACCGGAGCUGCCGGGUCGCCUCCCGCCCGCGCUGCCCGAGGUGUCCAAAGUGCUGCUGGGCGCCCACGCGCUCCUGGCCAAUGGCUCUGUCAUGUCCCGCGUGGGCACCUCGCAGAUCGCCCUGGUCUCCAAGGCCUACAACGUGCCAGUCCUGGUCUGCUGCGAGACCUACAAGUUCUGCGAGCGGGUGCAGACGGAUUCUUUUGUCUCCAACGAGCUGGGUACGGCUCCUGUCCCUUUCCUCCCACCUGGGACCUUCUCUCCCAGUCCCUGCUGUGAACCGUGACAGGCUGCCCUGCCCUGCCCUGCCCUGCCCUGCCCUGCCAUCCCUCCUGCUGGGCAAGGGGCCACCACUUGCAGGCAGCGGCACCUGGCAGGGAGACGUGGUAACACCUCGGGGUGAAGUCAGCGCAGUGACAGCAGCGCCACGGGCUGCGACAGGUGGAAGGAACUGUCCCAUCACUCGACGCCCCGAGAGAAUGAUUGGACAGGAAUGAACGCCACUAAUUACCAAUGGAAGCCCCGGAGACGGAGCAUUCACCGCGAGGAUCCAAAUCCCACCAAUUCCGGACCGAGGGGGUGUAAGAGGGAGUGUCGGGCUGCCGCUCGGGGUUUCCAAGGGAGCACCCGCUGUGUCAGGGUGGUGAUGCCCUGUGUCGUGUUCCGGCUUGCCGAGAGGGGACUCGGGCUUAUCUCGGGUCCUCCGCCUUCUACAGCUGUGUACCAAUAAACGGGUGCCGGUUUUUUGA